GGCGGACGGGUGAGUAACGCGUGGGAAUCUGCCCUGCAGAGGGGGACAACCCGGAGAAAUCCGGGCUAAUACCGCAUACGCUCUACGGAGGAAAGCGGAGGAUCUUCGGACUUCGCACUAUGGGAUGAGCCUAAGUCGGAUUAGCUUGUUGGUGAGGUAACGGCUCACCAAGGCGACGAUCCGUAGCUGGUCUGAGAGGACGAUCAGCCACACUGGGACUGAGACACGGCCCAGACUCCUACGGGAGGCAGCAGUGGGGAAUAUUGGACAAUGGGGGCAACCCUGAUCCAGCAAUGCCGCGUGUGUGAAGAAGGCCUGCGGGUUGUAAAGCACUUUCAGUAGAGAAGAAAAGCUUACGGUUAAUACCCGUGAGUCUUGACGUAACCUACAGAAGAAGCACAGGCUAACUCCGUGCCAGCGGCCGCGG
rnacentral:rRNA from 1 species